rnacentral:rRNA from 1 species
AUUGAACGCUGGCGGCAGGCCUAACACAUGCAAGUCGAACGGCGUGGCGGACGGGUGAGUAAUGUCUGGGACUCUGCCUGGUAGGGGGGGAUAACGUCGGGACACGGGCGCUAAUACCGUAUCAUCUCAGAUGAGCAUAGGUGGGAUUAGCGAGUGGGUGGGGUAAAGGCUUACCAAGGCGACGACCCGUAGCUGGUCUGAGAGGAUGAUCAGCCACACUGGAACUGAGACACGGUCCAGACUCCUACGGGAGGCAGCAGUGGGGAAUAUUGGACAAUGGGCGAAAGCCUGAUCCAGCCAUGCCGCGUGUGUGAAGAAGGUCUUCGGAUUGUAAAGCACUUUAAGUUGGGAGGCGUUACCAACAGAAGAAGCACCGGCUAACUUCGUGCCAGCAGCCGCGGUAAUUC